UACGGGGGGGGCAAGCGUUGUUCGGAAUUACUGGGCGUAAAGGGUCUGUAGGUGGCUUGCUAAGUCAGACGUGAAAUCCCUCAGCUUAACUGGGGAACUGCGUCUGAGACUGGCGAGCUUGAGGGCAGGAGAGGAACGCGGAAUUCCAGGUGUAGCGGUGAAAUGCGUAGAUAUCUGGAGGAACACCGGUGGCGAAGGCGGCGUUCUGGACUGCAUCUGACACUGAAAGACGAACGCCAGGGGAGCAAACGGG
rnacentral:rRNA from 1 species